rnacentral:miRNA from 1 species
UUGUGUAUCUGAGUGUUUCU